GAAAUUGUUGUUCAUCUGUUAUCACCUUAUGAAACGAAAGAAACUUUUCGGACGACCUAAUAUUUCCACGCACCUUGAAACAUGAAAGAAACGCUGAAUAGAAUAUUCGAACUAAGUAAAUCGGAAUAAUAGAAAGAUACGAGCGAUCGUAUGAUACGCGAAAUAGGAAAGUAAGGAGUCUCUUACGAACGUUUAACUCAGCGUCGAGCGGGAAAUUAACUGGAAUUUUCGCGCGGUCGCGGUCGAGGAUACUCGCCGGUCGGACGAGCGUUGCAUAGCCGUGAGAAGGCCAACGCGGUCGAAGCAGGCCGCAGACCGCGUCUGCGGUCUUUCCGCCAGUCGCUCCGCCACUUUUUGGACUUUGCUGCUAUGGGCGCGAUUAUCGAUCGCUGCCGCGCCGGUCGCGGCAUCCGGACGCUGAAUUAAGCCCUUGACCGCAAAACCGGCCACCCGAUCGUCUUCCGUUUUAAAAUCGGCGUUCCCCAAUUUUCAGCGCGCCACCUGCUUCACCAAAUCAACUCCGCUACUACGACAAACCUACGGAUAUGUGUAUGGAUGUACCUAUGUACGUAUGUGUGUGUGUGUGUAUUGAGAACUUUUAUGCAGAUUCAUAUUUCUGAGAAUAUAAUUACGUCUUCAUUGCAAGAACAUCGAAGAACGUGUGUUUCUAUUAUCAAUAUUUAUUAAAAACAAUUUUCGUAUCGAGAUCUGAUAAAAAUUGUCGGUCGUGAAAGGAUCAAAGAUAUACUUUAGAUAAAUGUAACCAUAGAAUGAAAAAUAAUUAUCUCCUCGUGGCCUCGAUAGACUCAAACCCUUCAGCGAUCAGCUCGAUGCGCCGCGCCGUAUCGAUUGCUGUUCCUCCACGUAUCGUCAACCUCUGUACGUCGUAUGGACUUCCGUUUCUUCACGUAUCGACGACUUCCAUAUGCCGUACAGAUUGCCAUUUCUUCCUAUCUUCCUCUAAACGCUUUCAAGCUUAUGAUAGGACCGCUUUACGUUUACAAACCGUGUCUAACGUUUAGGUAUCUGACGAUAGAUAAAGUAACGUAUUUCAAGAUUGGCGUUUGAACGAAGACGAAUCGCAUACCAGCGAUUACGAUCGAUUUUUAAUCGUCUUUAAAGCGACCUAUAAUGUCUUUUGAUAUUUCCUUUUAAUGUUUUACGCCAAAAAUAUCAAUAAAGAUUCGAUAAAUAUGUAACUAUCGUCAGUGGAGCGGUGUCAGUGAUAGUCAGUGACACGCACUUGCGUCGCUCGAGACUCAAACAGAAUUCAGCGACACGCCACUUACAAUUAAUCGUCGCAUGAAACAAACUGUCUGUUCCGAUUCUUAUUGUAUAUGAUAAGCAUUGGUUGUUAGACGAAUAUGGUAAAUGAAGGAAGACAGCGAUUCCGCAAAGAAACGUACGCGUUUAAACGGAUUCGGAAGGUUUGUUCGUGGAACGAAUCGAUUAAUGGGCCCGGAAACCGCGGCCGACAUGUUCUUGAAAAGUGUACCGCGGAAGGUUAGCCUGUCAAUGACGGCCAAGUGAAAGUUGGACGUCUAGACGUAUUUAUUUCUAGAGCGACGGACACUGCGAUUUUAUUCCUGUCACAGCGACACCGAAGCCGCCUGAUUGACGUAGGUGUUGCACCGAUUUCGUUUAAAAAUAGGUGUCUGUAUAUGGAACGCUCGUGAAACGUUCAACGCGUGGCAUCGCUCCAUUUACGCUCACGGACCAAUUGGCAGCGACUCGCGAUCGCUACCAAACAGGACGCCAGUACUGUAACAUGCCAAAUAAAAUGGAAAUACGGUAAAACGUCGUGCGUAUGGAGAAAUUUUAAGGAAAAAUGAAGAGCGUUUGGAUAUCGUCAAUACGAGUGAUCCAGAAGCUAUGUGAACUAAAAUUCUAAGCGAAUUCUAUCGUUUACAAAGUAGGUAGAAGAAAUAGCCAUCGUUAAUUUUCGCUCGAGGUAUGCACGAAGCGUCGUCGUACGUCAAAUAUUGACCAACACGUCGAACAUAUCCUCGCAACUCUUCUCAUAGCCACUCUGCUUCGACGAUCCUCUUCACGGGUUAGCCAGCAAAUUAACAAAAACCUGCCUAACCAAUGCAACGCGCUGGAAAAAUCGUCUCGCGUACCGUUUAAAUCGUUCUCCGGAGGAAAACCCUCUGGAAAACCAUUAUCAGCCCUAUGAAUCCUUAGCUAACUAAGGUAGGAUUAUUCGUGAGUCUUACUAGAAUAUUUGACUUUAGAAUCCAGAACAUCUCUAAGAUAUUUUUUAAUCUUCUUCUUACAAAGACUGUUUCAUUCUGAAUUUUUGUUACCAAUACAUGAGAACCCACAGAGAGGAAAAUGAUUUUUACGAAAAUAUUAGAUAUUCUUCGGGAAGACCUGGCCUUGGAUACAUAUAAAUAUACGCUGAGACAGUUGAUUGACAGACACAGUUAAAUAUAUGUAUUUUUGAAUCGUUCAACGAUUAUAAAUGAGUCGACCCGCGCUGGCAGAACACGUCCAACAACGUUUCUUAGUUCCUUUCGUUCUAUUUAGAAAUCUACGUCACAUUUAUCAACUAACCUCCUUCUUGUUUUUCUUUCUUUUUUUUUUUUUUUUUUUUUUUUUUUUUUUUUUUUUUUUUUAGUCACACAAUUAUGAUCUUUCAGAAACAGUUAAUACCUCGUGAAAUUGUACCUGUCUCUAAGAUCGUAUUUCAUCCUGUACGCUUCGCGACGAAUCUUUACUGGAUCGAUUUUAGGAUGAAGCUUCGACAAUUCGAUCGUAAAUCUUGUAAAGCUGCUCGAUCGAACUCGAUGACGUCCUUCGUCCGUUCUACCCGCAAAUGGUAGGUAGCUUAGCGGCAGUCUCGUUACAACAGCGCAGCGGCUCGCGACAGAGGUGAAAGUCAGAUGUCUAGACGUGUUUACUCGCGGCGCAAUCGCGGCUGCAUUGCGACAACCUCGGAUGGACGAGGCGGCGAGUCGGUUUCCUCGUAAGUAACCGGCCACUCGAGCGUGUUUCUGCGGCACACCGGGGACAUUGUGUAGCCACAAAGUACAGAGCCACGUCGUACGUGUUUCGCACGCGUAAAAUGCUCGGCGCGCGCGCUUUCCAAAUUGCACCGCGAUUUCCUGAGAAAUCGAACCGACUUGGACCUGCCAGGCACGUCUCCGGACGUAUAUAUACGAUCCACAAGCCUUCAUCCCGCAUCGUUUCUUUAUUGCUCGCUGUUGCUCACCCUUUGCCGACGAUUUAACACCUUUUCUACUUCUUACGUGCUGUGAUCCUGUUCAUGGAUGGUGGAAUUCACAGGGACAGCGAAGAUCGAUCGAGGAAUUGUCGCGCGAAUGCAAGAUAAAUCCACGGGAAUUUUGACAGAAGUUGACGGCGAAUGGAAUUCUGAUACCCAGGUAGCGAGGAUAGAUGAUGAAAUUGUGAUACGAACGGGCAAUAAAUUGCGAAAUUUUCAUAUGGAGGGGAAAAUCUUGGCAAUUUUCACUUGUACUAACUGUAGACGGCAAAGUUCUGACAGGAUUUGAUGGCGGAUUUGAAAUUCCGAAUGGAGGAUGAAUCUGAGAAUUUAAACACGAGUUGAUGAUGAAUAAUGGAUUUCUGAUAGAAAUCGACGACAUGAUCGCGGAAUUCUAAUACAAAUUGACAAUAGACGAUGAAAUUUUUAAACGAAUGGGCAAUAAAUUGCGCCAGUUUGACAGGAGUCGAUAGAUCACGGAAUUGCAAGAGAAUGUGGAGCUUGAAACGUUUAAGUCUCUUGUUACGUACCAUAGGAUUCGACGAGAAAACACAGCAAACACUUGGAACUGCCAUAAACUAAGCAAGUUGCCGUAACUUCGCGACUGUGACACAGACAAUUGGCAUUCUUUGCAAAGUCAUUGAUAAGCGUUCAAAGAAUGUAUUGUACGUACGUACAGCGUAUCACAGCAUCGAAUAGUAUUUUAUUCUUGAGAAUCUACACUCUUCGUAAGAUUUAUUCUCGCAGGAUUAUGGCAUGAUUUAAUAGUAAAUCUCUCGGAAUUUCGCUAGAUCCUAUAAAAUCCUAUCUUUGUUAUAUUGUACUUCGAUAGCUGAAAGCGUGUCGAUGCAACAGCGAAUAAAUCCAUUGUAAUCGUUAAGAGGCCUGUUAAAAAAAAAGUCGUAAAGAGAAGGAAGUUUGGCAAGAAGUAUUUUUAAUCGUGUUUGGCUUGAGAGUGUCGUAGAUAGAUAGUUGUGUAUGUAAAGUAUACGCUAUACAGAAUGUGAAUUACGCAGCUUUCAAGGAACGAUUAAAUCGGAUUAAAUGCUUGCGAGGCUGAUUCGCGGGAAUUUGUGAUUCAUUUAAGGAUAAAAGAGGCAGUUCCAUUGAAAAUCUUGUUAAAAGACGUCGCGACGAGACGGUUCGAUAUGAUCACGAAGAUACUGUUGCAAAUUCUUUUGAAACAGUAGACGCAUAAGAUGAGGAAAUUUGGUCGUGGUAUAAAUUAAGAAUAAUUCUCAGCAUUGGAUAUUCGAUAUUUUAUCGAAUCACGAGUUACGUACGAACAUCGACAUAUUGUUAGCGAGCCAACUGUACAUUGGCAAAAACACGAGGCACUGUGCUUUUCUCAAACGAAAUCACGUGGUACCCGUGGCGUCGAGCGGGACAACGCAGCGGCGACAGGUCGUCCUACGAGCCUUCAGGCUCGUAUGCAAAUCUCUUGUCUUGUUCGUCUUGUUUGUGGCGUGGACUGGCCGACGUGGUCUCGUCGUCUACUCGAAAAGGCCAUUGUGGGGACACCAACCGCGGAGGAGGUCGAGGUUAAGACCCGGUUACGCGGCGUUGCGGGUCGCGGCCUCGUCAGGGACUGGGUCGAGGUUGCCAGGGUCCCCCUGGGCCCGCAUAAAAAGCACGCGUGUGCAUGCGCGAAAGCUUCGUGAAAAGUGUCGUCGACCAAGUUUUUCGACCGGUUCUCUCGUCUCUCGGGGAGAAAGGCCAGCAGACGACCCUCCAGAGGUCGAACCAGUUCCCCAGACCAUUCGGUCGCCACCAAAACGCGUUUUCUGCCGUCUUACGAUCGCCAAUUUCACGGGCACGGAUGUAUCCUGGUCUUCGAGGUUGUACAAUUGCUUACUGAUUUACAAAAUCUGUGUCUAUAUUUGGUAGGUUGGAUGUUACUGGCUUGAAUUGGUUUAUGGGUGUUGAAGAUGGGGAAUGAGUGAAGGGUUAGAUGGUGAGACUGGUUUUGUAUGACUUAAUAUUCUGUCGAAUUUACGCAGCAUAUUUCGUCGUAGUUUACCUUGUGUUAAGGCCAAUGAAAUCCAAAUUAUCAAUUCCAUUUGUAUAAAAAAUUAUGAAACUCACGUUGCAAUAAUAGUUGAAGGUGCAUAGAUUGGUCUUAAAUGAACUAUCAUAAAUUCGUUAUAAAUCAUUGUUUCACGUAUUAUCUGCAUUCUGCAGCUUCUUCGUAAUCAUCUUACACGAAUCGUGUCUUUACACAGAAAUCGACUACGACUAUGAAGACGAGACAACCUAGCACGACUAUGCAGCCAACCUUCGUACAUCACCUUCGCCAAACUAAAUCCAUUACUCUCCACAAUUUCUCCAUUAUUCUCUCUUCCAAAUUAAUCUCACGUAGCUGGGUAAAAUCCGUCGACAAAAAGGAAAAAAAAAAAGAAGAAGAGAAGAAACUUACGAUCCCACGUGGAAUAAGAAGUCUCGAACAAUCUGCAACCAGCUACACGAGAUUCGCGUAUUUAUAAAAAUCUUAACAUCCAGCAGCAGGCUAGGCAUAAGCCUGAUGCAUUCAUCUGUCGGUACUUUUGGAAGGAAAGAGAGAGAGAGCCUCUCUCUCGUAAAGAUGAAAAAUUCCAUACAUUCGUGAAAAGCUAGCCGUGAUUUCCCUUGUGUUACGCGAUAUCGCUGUUUCCCUUUGAGCCAGGAUAACAAGCGGAUAGCAGCGGAAGCCAGACAGAAAUAUUCCUGGUCCUGUCUAGCGAAACCGAAUCACCUCGAGUGAAAAUAGUACGCGACAAAUAUUCGUUUGGUUAAAAAAUCAAUGGUAAAAGAAAUGAAGGCCACAGGGAAUAUCCAAUGGUACCAUCUUUAACAUUUACUAUAUAUUUAAGAUGGCUAUCUAUGCUGUAUAUUAAUUUUUUACCAAAUGGUAGAUACAUAGUAAUUUAUUAAUUUACUAAUUAAUAUUAUAAUAAAAUAUUUUAUCGAAAUAUCGCUAUUAUCUAUUUUUAAUAAACGUUUUGCUAAAUAUCUACGAUAACAUCUAUAUCAAUUUUCAAAUUGAUGUCAGACACGAACGUACGUAUGUAAUCGAUAAUCGUAGUAGUCGUAUCUCGUUACAGUGCAAAUAAAAUUUAAAAGUGUUUUCCAUUA